UUAUCUGACUAGGUGCGGCGCGACUAGGACGUGGACUGUGAUUUUGAAUUAUCGAAGUUAAAUUUUCAAGUCAAGUUAAGGUAACUGAUGUUGGAGACGCGUGGAGGGUCGAAUGGGCGCGUCGAAUCUUUUUGAGUCAAAAGAAAUUAUCUUCUUUUGAACCUUGUACAGUAUCAGAUACUUUUGUUUUAGUAAUAGCGUUGGAUUUUCAAACUGUUUUCCAGGUCAUGUUUGACUUUGUACGUUAUAGUAUCGUUGUGUUAUGUAUAUAUUAGGGUUUGAUAUUUUUGAAGUUAUAAAAAAUUAUUGAUUAUACGAU